rnacentral:rRNA from 1 species
CCUACGGGGGGCAGCAGUGGGGAAUAUUGGACAAUGGGGGCAACCCUGAUCCAGCCAUGCCGCGUGUGUGAAGAAGGCCCUCGGGUUGUAAAGCACUUUCAGUGAGGAAGAACGCCUGGUGGUUAAUACCCAUCAGGAAAGACAUCACUCACAGAAGAAGCACCGGCUAACUCCGUGCCAGCAGCCGCGGUAAUACGGAGGGUGCGAGCGUUAAUCGGAAUUACUGGGCGUAAAGCGCGCGUAGGUGGCUUGAUAAGCCGGUUGUGAAAGCCCCGGGCUCAACCUGGGAACGGCAUCCGGAACUGUCAAGCUAGAGUGCAGGAGAGGAAGGUAGAAUUCCCGGUGUAGCGGUGAAAUGCGUAGAGAUCGGGAGGAAUACCAGUGGCGAAGGCGGCCUUCUGGACUGACACCGACACUGAGGUGCGAAAGCGUGGGUAGCAAACAGGAUUAGAUACCCUGGUAGUC